rnacentral:misc_RNA from 1 species
GCCUGUAGGCCUUGCAGAAUACCUAAAAUGCAUAAAGAAUGACUACAAAAUAAAACCAUUCGGAAAAGCAAGCAUAUAGCAUCGGAAGAACAUAGAUUGAUUAAUUGCUACGAAAAAGACGUGCACUUGGUGAAUGAACAAAUGAUCCCACAAGAGAUUGCAAUAACUAUAUGUAAAAAGAAAUUACAUUGAUAACUUCUAACAUUAAAUUUCCAUGACAUAGCAUUCUCAAGUAUUCUUGCAAGUAACAUUCUUUAUAAAAUGACAUGCAUCAUUUAUCAGAAAGACGUGUCUUAGAACAAAAAUCUAACCUCUGGUAGUCUGGCAGCAAAA